rnacentral:rRNA from 1 species
UACGUAGGUCCCGAGCGUUGUCCGGAUUUAUUGGGCGUAAAGCGAGCGCAGGCGGUUAGAUAAGUCUGAAGUUAAAGGCUGUGGCUUAACCAUAGUACGCUUUGGAAACUGUUUAACUUGAGUGCAAGAGGGGAGAGUGGAAUUCCAUGUGUAGCGGUGAAAUGCGUAGAUAUAUGGAGGAACACCGGUGGCGAAAGCGGCUCUCUGGCUUGUAAACUGACGCUGAGGCUACGGAAAAGCGUGGGGGAGCAAAACAGGAUUAGAUACCCCCCGUAGUCC